rnacentral:tmRNA from 1 species
GGGGGCGUCUGGUUUCGACAGGCAAGUACUAUAGUAUAGUUGCAUACCGAGGAUCCAAAGUUCCUCGNAAAUCCCUUUGGAAAACUAAUAAGUGGCAAUUAUAGCUACUCUGCUGCUGCUUAAUUGUCAGUAGCUGUCUACUAACAGGCGUGUUCGCCUCCUGUUAACUAGGCAUCAUUAAUGCGAACUAGCUUGUAAUAUUGCCUCAAUAUUANAAGUGAAACCUUUAAGGCUAGUUUGGAAAUAGUUUGACUAUUUAUGAAAGCCAAAUGAAUCUUAAAAAAUAGUCUAAGUAUGUAGAAGCUAUAUUAAUAGACUGUUUGGACGGGAGUUCGAUUCUCCCCGCCUCCACAA